CUGAUCAGGAUGAACGCUAGCGGCAGGCUUAACACAUGCAAGUCGAGGGGCAGCGGGAUGUAGCAAUACAUUGCCGGCGACCGGCGGAUGGGUGCGUAACGCGUAUGCAACCUACCUUAGUACAGGGGAAUAACCUUUCGAAAGGGAGACUAACACCCCAUAGUAUUGAUUUAAGGCAUCUUAGAUUAAUUAAAUAUUUAUAGGUAUAAGAUGGGCAUGCGUAUGAUUAGCUAGUUGGUAAGGUAACGGCUUACCAAGGCGACGAUCAUUAGGGGUUCUGAGAGGAAGGUCCCCCACACUGGUACUGAGACACGGACCAGACUCCUACGGGAGGCAGCAGUGAGGAAUAUUGGUCAAUGGGCGCAAGCCUGAACCAGCCAUGCCGCGUGCAAGGAAGACGGCCUUAUGGGUUGUAAACUGCUUUUACAUAAGACUAACCGUAUAUUUGCGAAUAUACCUGAAUGUAUUAUGAGAAUAAGGAUCGGCUAACUCCGUGCCAGCCGCCGC
rnacentral:rRNA from 1 species